rnacentral:rRNA from 1 species
CAGCCGCCGCGGUAAUACAGAUGGUGCGAGCGUUAAUCGGAUUUACUGGGCGUAAAGCGUGCGUAGGCGGCUUUUUAAGUCGGAUGUGAAAUCCCUGAGCUUAACUUAGGAAUUGCAUUCGAUACUGGGAAGCUAGAGUAUGGGAGAGGAUGGUAGAAUUCCAGGUGUAGCGGUGAAAUGCGUAGAGAUCUGGAGGAAUACCGAUGGCGAAGGCAGCCAUCUGGCCUAAUACUGACGCUGAGGUACGAAAGCAUGGGGAGCAAACAGGAUUAGAUACCCCCGUAGUCCCUGUCUCUUAUAC